rnacentral:rRNA from 1 species
UUGGGACUGAGACACGGCCCAAACUCCUACGGGAGGCAGCAGUGAGGAAUAUUGGUCAAUGGAGGAAACUCUGAACCAGCCAAGUCGCGUGAAGGAAGAAUGUCCUAAGGAUUGUAAACUUCUUUAGCGAGCGAGUAAGGACUUCCACGUGAUGGGAGUUUGAAAGUAGCUCGAGAAUAAGUAUCGGCUAACUCCGUGCCAGCAGCCGCGGUAAUACGGAGGAUACGAGCGUUAUCCGGAUUUAUUGGGUUUAAAGGGUGCGCAGGUGGUCUUACAAGUCAGUGGUGAAAAGCUGAGGCUCAACCUCAGCCUUGCCGUUGAAACUGUAAGACUUGAGAGUACAUGAUGUGGGCGGAAUGCGUAGUGUAGCGGUGAAAUGCAUAGAUAUUACGCAGAACUCCGAUUGCGAAGGCAGCUCACAAAGGUAUAUCUGACACUGAGGCAC